rnacentral:sRNA from 1 species
AUUCGAGGCUCAUGAAGGUGCGGGAGAUCAGCUCCUGCGUCCGCAGCAGCAACUC